UCAACCAAACCACAGGAGGCUGGGGAAUACGUGAGAGCAAGCACAUGGCUAUGUGAUGACUAGGGAACAUCUCAGCCACAGUAACCUUUCUCAGGUUUUUUUAGUUUCCUUAUAUUAUUGUUUCCUAAGGAAUUUUUCAAGCAGGGUUUACUGGGUGAACAAAAAGGUUUCACCUUUCACCAAUCAAAGAGGAACACGAAACUCUCAAGCAGGCCUCCCUGUUGAUGAACUGGGCUGAAUGGUGAUGCAAAGAUGAUUCGCGGCUUUUCAGCUAUGAAAAUCUGGGGGCUGGGAAGUCCAAGAUCAACAUGACAGCAGAUUUGGUGUUUGGUGAACAAUCACUUCCUCACAGAUGGCCAUCUUCUCAUUGUAGCCUCACGUGACAGAAAGGUCCCUUCAAGGUAAAUCAAGAAUCUUUCGGCCCAGCACAGUGGCUCCCACCUGUAAUCCCAGCACUUUUGGAGGUUUAUGUGAAGUCUUUCUACUUUUUUCAUGUGGGUAUUCAUUUCUAUAAACUUUCCUUUUAGAACUGCUUUCCGCUGUAUCCUAUAUGUUUGGGUAUGCUGUAUUUCAAUUUUCAUUUUUCUCAACAAGUUUCUAAUUUCUUCGUUAAUCUAAUUAUUGUUCAGGAACACAUUAUUUCAUUUAAUUUCUAUGGAUUUGUACAGCUUCCAAUGUUCCUUCUGUUACUGGUCUCCAAUUUUAUUUUGUGGUGGUCAGAAAAGAUGUUUGAUACGAUUUUAAUUUUUAAAAAAAUGUGUUAAGACUUAUUUUGUGACCUAACAUAUAGUUUAU